rnacentral:lncRNA from 1 species
AUGGAAUUAUGAGCCAGGAACCAUGGACAAGAACAUACAGACACACUCAUACCCCAUAUAUACACACAUAUAGGCACCUACAUAUAUACACACCAUACACACAUAUACACACACAUACCCCAUAUAUACACACAUAUACACACCUACAUAUAUACACACAUAUAUACACAUUCAUACAUGUACAUACACACCCCAUAUAUACACACAUAUACACACACAUCCCAUAUAUACACAGCUACAUAUAUACACACAUAUAAAAACCAUACACACAUAUACACACCCCAUAUAUACACAGAUAUACACACCUACAUAUAUAC